UUUGAAUAGAAAAUAAACAUG
rnacentral:piRNA from 1 species